rnacentral:rRNA from 1 species
UACGGAGGGUGCAAGCGUUAUCCGGAUUUACUGGGUUUAAAGGGUGCGCAGGCGGAUAUGUAAGUCAGUGGUGAAAUCUCCGGGCUUAACCCGGAAAUUGCCGUUGAUACUAUAUAUCUUGAAUGCUGUGGAGGUAAGCAGAAUAUGUCAUGUAGCGGUGAAAUGCUUAGAUAUGACAUAGAAUACCUAUUGCGAAGGCAGCUUACUACGCAGAUAUUGACGCUCAUGCACGAAAGCGUGGGGAUC